UACACUCCUACGGGAGGCAGCAGUGGGGAAUAUUGGACAAUGGGCGCAAGCCUGAUCCAGCCAUGCCGCGUGAGUGAUGAAGGCCCUAGGGUUGUAAAGCUCUUUCACCGGUGAAGAUAAUGACGGUAACCGGAGAAGAAGCCCCGGCUAACUUCGUGCCAGCAGCCGCGGUAAUACGAAGGGGGCUAGCGUUGUUCGGAUUUACUGGGCGUAAAGCGCACGUAGGCGGACUAUUAAGUCAGGGGUGAAAUCCCGGGGCUCAACCCCGGAACUGCCUUUGAUACUGGUAGUCUUGAGUUCGAGAGAGGUGAGUGGAAUUCCGAGUGUAGAGGUGAAAUUCGUAGAUAUUCGGAGGAACACCAGUGGCGAAGGCGGCUCACUGGCUCGAUACUGACGCUGAGGUGCGAAAGCGUGGGGAGCAAACAGGAUUAGAUACCCGGGUAGUCC
rnacentral:rRNA from 1 species